rnacentral:rRNA from 1 species
UGGGGAAUUUUGGACAAUGGGCGAAAGCCUGAUCCAGCAAUGCCGCGUGUGUGAAGAAGGCCUUCGGGUUGUAAAGCACUUUUGUCCGGAAAGAAAUCCUUGGCUCUAAUACAGUCGGGGGAUGACGGUACCGGAAGAAUAAGCACCGGCUAACUACGUGCCAGCAGCCGCGGUAAUACGUAGGGUGCAAGCGUUAAUCGGAAUUACUGGGCGUAAAGCGUGCGCAGGCGGUUUGCUAAGACCGAUGUGAAAUCCCCGGGCUCAACCUGGGAACUGCAUUGGUGACUGGCAGGCUAGAGUAUGGCAGAGGGGGGUAGAAUUCCACGUGUAGCAGUGAAAUGCGUAGAGAUGUGGAGGAAUACCGAUGGCGAAGGCAGCCCCCUGGGCCAAUACUGACGCUCAUGCACGAAAGCGUGGGGAGCAAACAGGAUUAGAUACCCUGGUAGUCCACGCCCUAAAACGAUGUCAACUAGUUGUUGGGGAUUCAUUUCCUUAGUAACGUAGCUAACGCGUGAAGUUGACCGCCUGGGGAGUACGGUCGCAA